rnacentral:rRNA from 1 species
CAGCCGCCGCGGUAAUACGAAGGGUGCGAGCGUUAAUCGGAAUUACUGGGCGUAAAGCGUGCGCAGGCGGUUCGUUAAGACAGAUGUGAAAUCCCCAGGCUUAACCUGGGAACUGCAUUUGUGACUGGCGAGCUAGAGUAUGGCAGAGGGGGGUAGAAUUCCACGUGUAGCAGUGAAAUGCGUAGAGAUGUGGAGGAAUACCGAUGGCGAAGGCAGCCCCCUGGGCCAAUACUGACGCUCAUGCACGAAAGCGUGGGGAGCAAACAGGAUUAGAGACCCGUGUAGUCCCUGUCUCUUAUAC